UUACUGUACAAGCAAGGCAGCAAAGUUUUCUGCAUCAGACACACUCUGUCAUUUUAAAUUUAAAAUGCACAAUGUGCAUGUGUGACUAAUAUCUCUGCAAAGCUCUCUAAUAAGGACCAGACUCAGCAAAUGCUGAAUGUGCUAAAUUCCUGUGCCUUGGGGAGCCUGCAACCCCUUCAGGAUGUACUGACAUAACUUCCAGUUGUGUUGAUGAUGGAGAUCGUGCAUACUUUGGAUUUUGUAGUCCCAAAAAGGCAUCCAUUCUAAAAGCACCUUAUGGGAGGAGCGGAACAAAACAUAUCCUGGAGAGACUUGAGGAGAAAACAAGUCAAAUUUGAAGAUGCUGUGUCCUCAACAUUGUGAUUUACACAUAUUAACUUAAUAUUAACAUAUUAAGGUAUCAGGUCUAACAUGUAAAUGUGGGAAAGGCUCAGACUGAAUUGUGCUGGACUGGCAUAUAUAUAUAUAUAUAUCUGGGUACCCAUGCUGGUAAAACAGUCAUGAAGAAUAUUGGGAGCAUUUGACUGCAAAGGGACUGCUUGAAAAUGUCAGAUUACCAAAUCUGAUGGCCAUACCUUUAAGGCCAUCUAGAUUAUCUUCUUACAUGAAAAGGAUUUCCUAAUUAUUUUUGCUUCAAGUCCAAGAGAAUUAAAUAAUACUCAGUACCUGCUAGUGCUAAAAACCAGUAUGUAAUUUGUCACACAUACCUCGGUGAAAUAGCCAGGAAGUUUAAAAGGCUUAGAAUAAAC
rnacentral:lncRNA from 1 species